UACGUAGGGGGCGAGCGUUGUCCGGAAUCAUUGGGCGUAAAGCGCGUGUAGGCGGCCCGGUAAGUCCGCUGUGAAAGUCCAGGGCUCAACCCUGGGAUGCCGGUGGAUACUGUCGGGCUCGAGUCCGGAAGAGGCGAGUGGAAUUCCUGGUGUAGCGGUGAAAUGCGUAGAUAUCAGGAGGAACACCAAUGGCGAAGGCAGCUCGCUGGGACGUGACUGACGCUGAGACGCGAAAGCGUGGGGAGCAAACAGG
rnacentral:rRNA from 1 species